rnacentral:rRNA from 1 species
UGCAAGUCGAGGGGCAGCAUGACCUAGCAAUAGGUUGAUGGCGACCGGCGCACGGAUGAGUAACACGUAUCCAACCUACCGGUUAUUCCGGGAUAGCCUUUCGAAAGAAAGAUUAAUACCGGAUAGUAUAACGAGAAGGCAUCUUCUUGUUAUUAAAGAAUUUCGAUAACCGAUGGGGAUGCGUUCCAUUAGUUUGUUGGCGGGGUAACGGCCCACCAAGACAUCGAUGGAUAGGGGUUCUGAGAGGAAGGUCCCCCACAUUGGAACUGAGACACGGUCCAAACUCCUACGGGAGGCAGCAGUGAGGAAUAUUGGUCAAUGGACGAGAGUCUGAACCAGCCAAGUAGCGUGAAGGAUGACUGCCCUAUGGGUUGUAAACUUCUUUUAUAUGGGAAUAAAGUGAGCCACGUGUGGCUUUUUGUAUGUACCAUACGAAUAAGGAUCGGCUAACUCCGUGCCAGCAGCCGCGGUAAUACGGAGGAUCCGAGCGUUAUCCGGAUUUAUUGGGUUUAAAGGGAGCGUAGGCGGACUAUUAAGUCAGCUGUGAAAGUUUGCGGCUCAACCGUAAAAUUGCAGUUGAUACUGGUCGUCUUGAGUGCAGUAGAGGUAGGCGGAAUUCGUGGUGUAGCGGUGAAAUGCUUAGAUAUCACGAAGAACUCCGAUUGCGAAGACAGCUUACUGGACUGU